rnacentral:rRNA from 1 species
UACGAAGGGGGCUAGCGUUGCUCGGAAUCACUGGGCGUAAAGGGUGCGUAGGCGGGUCUUUAAGUCAGGGGUGAAAUCCUGGAGCUCAACUCCAGAACUGCCUUUGAUACUGAAGAUCUUGAGUUCGGGAGAGGUGAGUGGAACUGCGAGUGUAGAGGUGAAAUUCGUAGAUAUUCGCAAGAACACCAGUGGCGAAGGCGGCUCACUGGCCCGAUACUGACGCUGAGGCACGAAGGUCAGGGGAGCAAACGGG